AACGAGGCAUAUCAAGGGUUGAUUUUUAGGCUCAUGACCUACAGGUUGUUGGUUCAAUCCCAACCCUCGGAU
rnacentral:tRNA from 1 species